rnacentral:lncRNA from 1 species
CUUACAGUGGCAUGCGAAUCUGCAGCGAGCGUCGAGGGGUUUGCGGGAAGUCGUCCAAAGUCGACAGUACUAUGCGCAACGGAAGGCGGAAGGGACGAGUUCGUCUUUCGUGUGCUUGUUGCAGCCGAUGCCGAUGAGCACCGAGACCCUGGCGGAGAAGAGCUGCACCGCCACUCCAGCUGCCUGUUCUCUUGACUCUGUUUACGGGAUCAGUCUCGUGGAUGUGAACGAGAACGUUUGGUCUAGAUUGCCCGCGAUUCCAGGUUUUCCUGGGGGAUUACCCACGUAUUGCCGGCUUGUCGCGUUGAAAGGAGUGCUAGUGGUUCUGGGUGGGUGGUGGCAGAGCACCUGGGAGCCGUCGAAGUCGGUCUUUGUGUUCAAUUUCAGCACACAGACAUGGAGGCAGGGCGCCGACAUGACCAAUGUUCGUAAUUUCUUUGCAUGCGGAGCUACUGGAAGCAAAGUGUAUGUCGCGGGGGGACAUGAUGGCAGCA